AUGGUCGAGCUUGCUUGGCCAAGCAUUUAUUAGUUUUAACCAAUUACUGCGCAAGCAGUAAGGUGAAUCUAGAUAACUUUGCUGAUCGCAUGGCGUAGCCAGCGACGUUUCAAUUGAGUUUCUGCCCUAUCAAUUUGUUGGUAAGGUAUUGGCUUACCAAGGUUGUAACGGGUAACGGGGAAUCAGGGUUCGAUUCCGGAGAGGGAGCUUGAGAAUCGGCUACCACAUCCAAGGAAGGCAGCAGGCGCGCAAAUUACCAAAUCUAGACAGUAGGAGGUGGUGAAGAGAAGUACUAAGUGGUGGUUAUUUACUACCAGCUUGGAAUGGACGUAAUUUAAGCAUUUCGAUGAGUAACUACUGGAGGGCAAGUCCUGGUGCCAGCAGCCGCGGUAAUUCCAGCUCCAGUGGCGUGAUUUAAAGUUGCUGCGUUUAAAACGCUCGUAGUUGGAUCAAGCGGUGUCAGUUUGUAGUCCGUGGCUAGCAUUUGACUGCUUCAGUCGAUGCUAGUCGUGGAUUAAAACGCAAACUGUCACUAUUUAAUCGCAAAUAUGUUAGUUGACCUUGAAUGAGUUGACUAUCAUAUUUUGCAGAGUUGUGCCUUGAAUAAAACAGAGUGCUCAAAGCAGGCGAACGCUUGAAUGUUGUAGCAUGGAACGAACAAACGUGUAUUAGCACAUGUCGGGCGAAGCGGAUGUGCUUCUGGUGUGUCUGCUUUGCUGAUGUGUGCAUCACCCGCCAAAGUACGAUUGUUGGUUAUCGUAUUAGGUGAUGAUUAAAAGGAGCGGUUGGGGGCAUUGGUAUUUGGACGCGAGAGGUGAAAUUCAAAGACCGUCCAAGGACUAACAAAUGCGAAGGCAUCUGUCCAGACCGUAUCCAUUAAUCAAGAACGAAAGUGGGAGGUUCGAAGACGAUUAGAUACCGUCGUAGUUCCCACUGUAAACUAUGCCGACUAGGGAUCAGCUUGGUGAUAUUACAAGCACCAAGUUGGUCUCCAAGGGAAACCAUAAGUUUUUCGGUUACGGGGAGAGUAUGGUCGCAAGGCUGAAAUUUAAAGGAAUUGACGGAAGGGCACCACCAGGGGUGGAACCUGCGGCUUAAUUUGACUCAACACGGGGAAACUUACAUGGUCCAGACAUCGAUAGGAUAAACAGACUGAUAGAUCUUUUUUGAUGCGGUGAGUGGUGGUGCAUGGCCGUUCCUAGUUCGUGGAGUGAUCUGUCAGGUUUAUUCCGGUAACGAACGAGACUACAACCUUCAUUUAAGAGGCAAAAGCAGGUUUCGCGAGAGAUGGUGCUUCGGUGCUGUCUUUCGUGUCUCUGAAAGAAGAAUAUGCUUGUUCUCAGUUCGUUGAGGAAUCGGGCAACCGUGAACUCAUUGAAAUGUGGAGCCGGUGUAUUUUCUCUUUUGUCAAGCAGUCCGAGGGUAACCUUUGGCUGACUUAUGGAGGGAC
rnacentral:rRNA from 1 species